rnacentral:rRNA from 1 species
UACGUAGGGUGCGAGCGUUAAUCGGAAUUACUGGGCGUAAAGCGUGCGCAGGCGGUUCGUUGUGUCGGUGGUGAAAGCCCCGGGCUUAACCUGGGAAUGGCCGUCGAAACUGGCGAACUGGAGUGCGGCAGAGGGGGGUGGAAUUCCGCGUGUAGCAGUGAAAUGCGUAGAGAUGCGGAGGAACACCGAUGGCGAAGGCAGCCCCCUGGGCUGACACUGACGCUCAGGCACGAAAGCGUGGGGAGCAAACAGG